CAAGACAACUUUACGGAGUUGACGAUUGACGGAGCGAAGCGACGUCAAAGCGUUCAUUAAAGUCGAGUUGGCUUAGGGAUACGUUCGUUGGGUAGGGGAGCGUUCUGUAAGCCUGUGAAGGUGUGUCGUGAGGCAUGCUGGAGGUAUCAGAAGUGCGAAUGCUGACAUAAGUAACGAUAAAGCGGGUGAAAAGCCCGCUCGCCGGAAGACCAAGGGUUCCUGUCCAACGUUAAUCGGGGCAGGGUGAGUCGACCCCUAAGGCGAGGCCGAAAGGCGUAGUCGAUGGGAAACGGGUUAAUAUUCCCGUACUUGGUGUUACUGCGAAGGGGGGACGGAGAAGGCUAUGUUGGCCGGGCGACGGUUGUCCCGGUUUAAGCGUGUAGGUGUGUGUUCCAGGUAAAUCCGGUUCACUUUAACACUGAGGCGUGACGACGAGGCACUACGGUGCUGAAGCAACAAAUGCCCUGCUUCCAGGAAAAGCCUCUAAGCAUCAGGUAACACGAAAUCGUACCCCAAACCGACACAGGUGGUCAGGUAGAGAAUACCAAGGCGCUUGAGAGAACUCGGGUGAAGGAACUAGGCAAAAUGGUGCCGUAACUUCGGGAGAAGGCACGCUGACACGUAGGUGAAGUGAUUUACUCAUGGAGCUGAAGUCAGUCGAAGAUACCAGCUGGCUGCAACUGUUUAUUAAAAACACAGCACUGUGCAAACACGAAAGUGGACGUAUACGGUGUGACGCCUGCCCGGUGCCGGAAGGUUAAUUGAUGGGGUCAGCGUAAGCGAAGCUCCUGAUCGAAGCCCCGGUAAACGGCGGCCGUAACUAUAACGGUCCUAAGGUAGCGAAAUUCCUUGUCGGGUAAGUUCCGACCUGCACGAAUGGCGUAAUGAUGGCCAGGCUGUCUCCACCCGAGACUCAGUGAAAUUGAACUCGCUGUGAAGAUGCAGUGUACCCGCGGCAAGACGGAAAGACCCCGUGAACCUUUACUAUAGCUUGACACUGAACAUUGAGCCUUGAUGUGUAGGAUAGGUGGGAGGCUUUGAAGUGUGGACGCCAGUCUGCAUGGAGCCGACCUUGAAAUACCACCCUUUAAUGUUUGAUGUUCUAACGUGGACCCGUAAUCCGGGUUGCGGACAGUGUCUGGUGGGUAGUUUGACUGGGGCGGUCUCCUCCUAAAGAGUAACGGAGGAGCACGAAGGUUGGCUAAUCCUGGUCGGACAUCAGGAGGUUAGUGCAAUGGCAUAAGCCAGCUUGACUGCGAGCGUGACGGCGCGAGCAGGUGCGAAAGCAGGUCAUAGUGAUCCGGUGGUUCUGAAUGGAAGGGCCAUCGCUCAACGGAUAAAAGGUACUCCGGGGAUAACAGGCUGAUACCGCCCAAGAGUUCAUAUCGACGGCGGUGUUUGGCACCUCGAUGUCGGCUCAUCACAUCCUGGGGCUGAAGUAGGUCCCAAGGGUAUGGCUGUUCGCCAUUUAAAGUGGUACGCGAGCUGGGUUUAGAACGUCGUGAGACAGUUCGGUCCCUAUCUGCCGUGGGCGCUGGAGAACUGAGGGGGGCUGCUCCUAGUACGAGAGGACCGGAGUGGACGCAUCACUGGUGUUCGGGUUGUCAUGCCAAUGGCACUGCCCGGUAGCUAAAUGCGGAAGAGAUAAGUGCUGAAAGCAUCUAAGCACGAAACUUGCCCCGAGAUGAGUUCUCCCUGAGACUUAGAGUCUCCUGAAGGAACGUUGAAGACGACGACGUUGAUAGGCCGGGUGUGUAAGCGCAGCGAUGCGUUGAGCUAACCGGUACUAAUGAACCGUGAGGCUUAACCUU
rnacentral:rRNA from 1 species